rnacentral:lncRNA from 1 species
GUGUGAACCAAGACCAUGUUUUUUCUCUGAACCAAUUGUUGCCCCAUUCCCUGUGGGAGAGCAUAUCCUGUACCUUCUUCAUUAUCAGAAAGUAAACAGUAAUGAUUCAUGGUGAGGAGAACUUACUUGUGUUUUUAUUGUUGUUGUUUUUUUUUUUGUUUUGUUUUGUUUUUGUUUUUCCCUUGCAGUGGAGCUUUUCUGUCCUUUUUCCAUGACCUUCCCAUGGCAUGUGAAGGUGAAGUUGUAUAUGAAGCAUUCAACAUGCAGUCUUUGGGAUGACCUGACCGUCAUUUGGAAGGAAAAGGACCAGGUACAGGAGCCCACAGAAGAUAUGUGUGGGGGGAUUUACAGGAACUAUUAAGUUUGUGAUUUUUUUUAUUUUUAAGGCAGUAUUAAACAAGUCAAAGAACUCAAGUAGGAGUUAAACUAUACUUCUCAGAUGCAUAAAAUGUUGUGACUAUGGAACGUGAGCAAGCCAUAUACUUGUUGGGAGUAUUUUCAGGCCAUAGUAUUUUGUUUGCAUUAACCCCAUAGGUUGCUGCAUAACCAAAGGUAAUAAAAUAUAUAUUUUAACUAACUAUGCCAACUUACAUGUAUGUCUGAAAUACAUCAUCUUGGCUAUUACUUUUUUUUUUUUUUUUUUUUUUUUUUCUGAAUAAUGGAAAGAGAAAAGACAAUUGUAGUGGGUUUACGUGGCAAGGUUUUGGUAGCAGGGGGCCAUAGGGGUGGUUUCUGUGAGAAGGAUCUAGAAGCUGCCCCAUGUUUGGUAAGGGCCCCAUUGUUUUCCAGAGCUGAGCCAAUAAGCGAUGUUGUUUUGCGCCUCUGUGAGAGCAUAUUUAAGACAGGAAAAAAAACACUGCGACACACAGCAGCUGGGAGAGUGAAGGGAGUGAGAAAUGCCCUUGCAGGCACCAAGCCCAUGGAGUACCACGGUGGAGCAGGGUUCCAUGCUGCAGCCCAUGGAGGAGACCACGAUGGAGCAGGUGGCCCUGCACCGAUGGAGGCUGCCACCUGUGGAAGACCCCUGCUGGAGCAGAUUCUGGGCCGGACCUGUAGCCCGUGGAGAGGAGCCCACUCAGGAGCAGGUGACCUGGCAGGAGCUGCUGCCCGUAGGAGAGCCAGGUUGGAGCGGUUUUCUCCUGGGACCCCACAGCACAGGGGACGAGAGUGACCGAGAAGGAGCGGCAGAGAAGAAGUGCUGUAGGCUGACCAUAACCCCCAUUCCCCCAUUCCCCUGCGCCGCUCGGGGGGAGGAGGUGGAAGAGGGUGGAUGGGGGGGGGAAGGUGCUUUUGGUUUCUUUCCUUUGUUUCUCACUUCUCUAGCUUGUUAGUAAUGAGCAAUAAAUCGUACUAUCUUCUUAUGCUGAGUUUCUUU